rnacentral:rRNA from 1 species
GAUGAACGCUGGCGGCGUGCCUAAUACAUGCAAGUCGAGCGAACAGACGAGGAGCUUGCUCCUCUGACGUUAGCGGCGGACGGGUGAGUAACACGUGGAUAACCUACCUAUAAGACUGGGAUAACUUCGGGAAACCGGAGCUAAUACCGGAUAAUAUAUUGAACCGCAUGGUUCAAUAGUGAAAGACGGUUUUGCUGUCACUUAUAGAUGGAUCCGCGCCGCAUUAGCUAGUUGGUAAGGUAACGGCUUACCAAGGCGACGAUGCGUAGCCGACCUGAGAGGGUGAUCGGCCACACUGGACCUGAGACACGGUCCAGACUCCUACGGGAGGCAGCAGUAGGGAAUCUUCCGCAAUGGGCGAAAGCCUGACGGAGCAACGCCGCGUGAGUGAUGAAGGUCUUCGGAUCGUAAAACUCUGUUAUUAGGGAAGAACAAAUGUGUAAGCAACUAUGCACGUCUUGACGGUACCUAAUCAGAAAGCCACGGCUAACUACGU